rnacentral:rRNA from 1 species
UACGUAGGGGGGCAAGCGUUGUCCGGAAUCAUUGGGCGUAAAGCGCGUGUAGGCGGCCCGAUAAGUCCGCUGUGAAAGUCCAGGGCUCAACCCUGGGAUGCCGGUGGAUACUGUCGGGCUCGAGUCCGGAAGAGGCGAGUGGAAUUCCUGGUGUAGCGGUGAAAUGCGCAGAUAUCAGGAGGAACACCAAUGGCGAAGGCAGCUCGCUGGGACGUCACUGACGCUGAGACGCGAAAGCGUGGGGAGCAAACAGG